rnacentral:rRNA from 1 species
UACAGAGACUGCAAGCGUUAUUCGGAUUCACUGGGCGUAAAGGGUGCGCAGGCGGUCGGGUGUGUCAGAUGUGAAAUCCCGAGGCUCAACCUCGGAACUGCGUCUGAAACUACUCGACUAGAGUACUGGAGAGGGAAACGGAAUUCACGGUGUAGCAGUGAAAUGCGUAGAUAUCGUGAGGAACACCGGUGGCGAAGGCGGCUCACUGGCUCAUUACUGACGCUCAGGCGCGAUAGCGUGGGGAUCAAACAGG